AUUGAACGCUGGCGGCACGCCUAACACAUGCAAGUCGAGCGGCAGCGUGGUGAGUAGAGAUACUGACUGACGGCGAGCGGCGGACGGGUGAGGAACACGUAGGAACUUGCCCAUCAGAGGGGGAUAACCAAGGGAAACUUUGGCUAAUACCGCGUAAACUCGAGAGAGGAAAGCUGCCUUAUGGGUGGCGCUGAUGGAGAGGCCUGCGUCCGAUUAGCUAGUUGGUGGGGUAAGAGCCUACCAAGGCGAUGAUCGGUAACUGGUCUGAGAGGACGACCAGUCACACUGGGACUGAGACACGGCCCAGACUCCUACGGGAGGCAGCAGUGGGGAAUAUUGGACAAUGGGGGAAACCCUGAUCCAGCGAUGCCGCGUGGGUGAAGAAGGCCUUCGGGUUGUAAAGCCCUUUAGGUUGGGAAGAAGGGUGUUACGAGAAUAUCGUAAUGCUUUGACGGUACCGACAGAAUAAGCACCGGCAAACUCUGUGCCAGCAGCCGCAGUAAGAC
rnacentral:rRNA from 1 species